rnacentral:tRNA from 1 species
GUCCUUUUAGUAUAAAAAGUAUAUUUAACUUCCAAUUAAAAGGAUCAAUAAAUUGAAAAGGACA